AGAUGUGUAGGUGCUGCAUGGUUGUCGUCAGCUCGUGCCGUGAGGUGUCGGCUUAAGUGCCAUACGAGCGCAACCUCAUCAUUAGUUACCAUCAGGUAAGGCUGGGGACUCUAAUGAGACUGCCAUCGUAAGAUGUGAGGAAGGUGGGGAUGACGUCAAAUCAGCACGGCCCUUACGUCCGGGGCGACACACGUGUUACAAUGGGUGGUACAAAGGGCAGCUACCUGGCGACAGGAUGCUAAUCUCGAAAACCGCUCUCAGUUCGGAUCGGAGUCUGCAACUCGACUCCGUGAAGCUGGAUUCGCUAGUAAUCGCGCAUCAGCCACGGCGCGGUGAAUACGUUCCCGGGCCUU
rnacentral:rRNA from 1 species